ensembl:lncRNA
CGCGCGGGAAGAGGAGAUCUACACGCCGACAAAGCAACUCCUCCCGACCCACGCACAGCCGUACGCACACCUAACGCAACACUCUGGCCUUCCGCCCUCUGACACGGCCUCUUAUACUAAUCUCCUUCACACUUGUCUCAGCAGCAUGAUUAUUCAUGAUUGGUCUCUUUCACACACACACACACACACACACACACACACAAACACACACACGAACAAGAAGGUCAGGAUCCUACCAUUCUGCUCACCACUGCCCUCAUUGCUUGUCACAUGAGCCCUGUGUUCCAGGCAAUAUGAUCUGUUCAAGAGGCCCACUCACUCAAGCCAUGAGUUCCUCCUACCCUUCCUGCCUCCACUCACACUCCACUCACAUAACCUCUUCCUCUGGCAAGUCCUCCCUGACUUGCUCAUUGUCCCCUCAGCCACAUGGGUCUCCAUCUCCAUGCUGGUCAUGCUGUCCUAUGUUUGCACACUCAUCUCUCUCCCUUCCUAAGCUGUGAGCUUUGGGGAGAAAAAUAUGGGAGUUUUGUCAUUUCUUAUCUCUAGUUCAUAGCCCAUUGUCCAGGACAGUUAAUGCCUGAGUAAAUGUUAGCUCUCUUCACUGUCUCUCCCAAUUCAUUUAAAACAGUGCUGCACAGCUUGAUGCAUGAAGCUAAAAACUGGAAAUGACCCAAACAUCUAUCAACAGAAUAUAUCAAUUGUAGAAUAUUCAUACAGUGAAACCCUGCUGCAAGGCAAUGAAAAGAAUAACCCACUGCCACACACAACAGCAUGAUGAAGCUCACAUGCAUAAGGCUGAACAAAAGAAGCCAGACCCAGAAAGUACCUUCCAUUUCUAUGGAGGCCAAAAACAGGCAAAAUAAAUCUCUGGUUAAUAGAGGCAGCAUGGUGAUUAUCUCCGGUGAUUACUGACUGGCAGCGCUUCCUAGAGGGCUGGAAAAUGUUGCUCACCUACACCUGGGUGGUGAUCAUACAGGUAUAUCCAUGUGUAAAUAUCAAUCAAGCUGGAUUGUUUAUGCACUUUGAAGUAGAUACCUUGGGGACUUCCCUGGAGGGGCAGUGGUUAAGAAUCCGCUUGCCAGUGCAGGGGAAAUGGGUUCGAUCCCUGGUUCAGGAAGAUCCUACCUGUGCAGCCCAUGUGCCGCAGCUAGUGAAGCGUGCAUGCGCUAGAGCGACUAGGGAGCAGCAGUGAAGACCCAGCAAUGAAGACCCAACACAGCCAGAAAAUGUUUAAAAAUUUAAAAGGUAGAUACCUUUACCUCUAUGUUUUAAGUAUUAUCAUUUUGCAAAAAAAAAAAAAAAGAGUAACAGCCCUCUUGUGUCUGACAGUCACCUCCUGCUACAGUUUCUUCUGAUUCUCACUGAAGCCCAGAGAGUGUAAUCCACCCAGGGAGAGACGCCCAGCAUGUCUGUGGAGAGCCCACAUCCUAAAGAGGGGACUAUGUGUCCUGCUUUUCCCGUGCAACUAAAAGCUCCAUGGGGUAGGCUCUGUGUCUUUGUGUUUCUGGCACAGAGCUCAACGGUCUCCAAAUGGUGGGGGACUACCCUGAGUCUGAAACUGGUUGCUACUGGGGUGUUGAAACACGGCAACAGGGUGGUCAUUAACAGUGCCAAUUCUAGGGACUUCCAUAGUGGUCCAGUGGCUAAGACACCCUGCUCCCAAU